rnacentral:SRP_RNA from 1 species
AGCCGGGGAGAUAGCGGUGCCCUGUACCUGCAAUCCGCUACAGCAGGGGUGAUGCCAAUCUGAGGCUUGUGAUCUGUGGAGCUGCCCUUUAUAAGUGGCGCUGACGUCUGGGUCUUACGCAACAGGAAUCUAUGAACCGUGUCAGGACAGGAAUGUAGCAGCACUAAGUAGAACCUUCUGUGUGCCGUGAGGGUGCCUGGGCCGAGUUAACUGUAAAGGUAACGUCUGUGGAUGCAUUCCGAGGUGCGGCGC